GAUGUGGGGACGGAGAAGGUUAGGUCAGCCAUCUGUUGGAAUAGGUGGUUUAAGCGUGUAGGUGUGCCCCUUAGGCAAAUCCGGGGGGCUUAGCAGAGGCGUGACGACGAGGUGCUACGGCACUGAAGUGAUUGAUACCAAGCUUCCAGGAAAAGCCACUAAGCUUCAGUCUAGAAUUGACCGUACCGCAAACCGACACAGGUGGGCAGGAUGAAAAUUCUAAGGCGCUUGAGAGAACUCAGGAGAAGGAACUCGGCAAAUUAACACCGUAACUUCGGGAGAAGGUGUGCCACGGUAGGUUGUAGAGCUUCGCGCUCGAAGGCCGAUGGGGUUGCAGUGAAAUGGUGGCUGCGACUGUUUAAUAAAAACACAGCUCUCUGCAAACACGAAAGUGGACGUAUAGGGAGUGACGCCUGCCCGGUGCCGGAAGGUUAAUUGAUGGGGUGCAAGCUCUUGAUCGAAGCCCCGGUAAACGGCGGCCGUAACAAUAACGGUCCUAAGGUAGCGAAAUUCCUUGUCGGGUAAGUUCCGACCUGCACGAAUGGCGUAACGAUGGCCACACUGUCUCCUCCUGAGACUCAGCGAAGUUGAAAUGUUUGUGAAGAUGCAAUCUCCCCGCGGCAAGACGGAAAGACCCCAUGAACCUUUACUGUAGCUUUGCAUUGGACUUUGAACCGGUCUGUGUAGGAUAGGUGGGAGACUAUGAAACCGGGACGCUAGUCUCGGUGGAGUCAACCUUGAAAUACCACCCUGGUUUGUUUGAGGUUCUAACCUUGAUCCGUGAAUCCGGAUCGGGGACCGUGCAUGGUGGGCAGUUUGACUGGGGCGGUCUCCUCCCAAAAGGUAACGGAGGAGUACGAAGGUACGCUUAGGGCGGUCGGACAUCGCCCAUAAAGUGCAAUGGCAAAAGCGUGCUUGACUGCGAGACCCACAAGUCGAGCAGGUGCGAAAGCAGGUCAUAGUGAUCCGGUGGUUCUGUAUGGAAGGGCCAUCGCUCAACGGAUAAAAGGUACUCUGGGGAUAACAGGCUUAUACCGCCCAAGAGUUCAUAUCGACGGCGGUGUUUGGCACCUCGAUGUCGGCUCAUCUCAUCCUGGGGCUGUAGCCGGUCCCAAGGGUAUGGCUGUUCGCCAUUUAAAGAGGUACGUGAGCUGGGUUUAAAACGUCGUGAGACAGUUUGGUCCCUAUCUGCCGUGGGCGCUGGAAAUUUGAAGGGGGCUGCUCCUAGUACGAGAGGACCGGAGUGGACGAACCUCUGGUGUACCGGUUAUGACGCCAGUCGUAUCGCCGGGUAGCUAUGUUCGGAAGAGAUAAACGCUGAAAGCAUCUAAGCGUGAAACUCGCCUUAAGAUAAGAUUUCCCGGAGUCUUGAACUCCUUAAAGGGUCGUCGAAGACCACGACGUUGAUAGGUCAGGUGUGGAAGCGCAGUAAUGCGUUAAGCUAACUGAUACUAAUUGCCCGUACGGCUCG
rnacentral:rRNA from 1 species